rnacentral:rRNA from 1 species
CCAGACUCCUACGGGAGGCAGCAGUGAGGAAUAUUGGUCAAUGGCCGGAAGGCUGAACCAGCCAAGCCGCGUGAGGGAGGAAGGCGCAGAGCGUCGCAGACCUCUUUUGCCGGGGGACAAAAGGCCGGACUCGUCCGGUCCUGAGGGUACCCGGAGAAAAAGCAUCGGCUAACUCCGUGCCAGCAGCCGCGGUAAUACGGAGGAUGCGAGCGUUAUCCGGAUUUAUUGGGUUUAAAGGGUGCGUAGGCGGGCUUUUAAGUCAGCGGUAAAAAUUCGGGGCUCAACCCCGUCCGGCCGUUGAAACUGGGGGCCUUGAGUGGGCGAGAAGAAGGCGGAAUGCGUGGUGUAGCGGUGAAAUGCAUAGAUAUCACGCAGAACCCCGAUUGCGAAGGCAGCUUACCAAACUAUAUCUGACGUUGAGGCACGAAAGCGUGGGUAGCAAACAGGAUUAGAUACCCGAGUA